rnacentral:lncRNA from 1 species
GGUCUGCCUCUAUGGCUGAAUUUAGAUCAUUAAGUGCCUCACUGUAUUUCUUAACUUUUACAUUUUGUGUUACUCUCUCAAACAAUGCAGCAGCAUCACCAGGUUUGGUGUCUACACAUCAUGAGUAGCAAAAGUAUCAGGAGAACAGUAAGUGCCAGUUCAAUUACAAGACAAAAAAACACUAUCCUAACUAGAUAGAUAGAGAAUAAUAUUCAUCAGUUCUCCUGAUAUAGUUCUCACUCACUACUGCAGGACCUAAGAUUGGCACAGUUGACCCUUCUGUCUAACUUUUUAUUACUCCCUCCAUUUCAAUUUGUUUGCCUUACUUUCCCUUUUACUCCAUCUAAACGAGAAUGUUUUUUUUCUUUUUUGGCAACUCUUCAGUUCUAACAUUCCACAU